CCCUUAGAUGUUCUGGGCCGCACGCGCGCUACACUGAUGCAUUCAACGAGUUUCUUCCUGGUCCGAGAGGAAUGGGUAACCUUUUGAAAGUGCAGCGUGAUAGGGAUAGACUAUUGCAAUUAUUGGUCUUCAACGAGGAAUUCCUAGUAGACGUAGUUCAUCAGACUGCAUCGAUUACGUCCCUGCCCUUUGUACACACCGCCCGUCGCUCCUACCGAUUGAAUGCUCAGGUGAGCCAUUCGGACUUUCAUCAUGCUGGUUUCCAGUUUUGAUGAAGGAAAGUCUUGCGAACCUUAUCAUUUAGAGGAAGGAGAAGUCGUAACA
rnacentral:rRNA from 1 species